AGCUCCGAGGUGUAAUUACAUAUUAGAUUGCAAAUCUAAAGAGGUAGGCUAAUCGCCUACCGGGGCUU
rnacentral:tRNA from 1 species